rnacentral:rRNA from 1 species
GAUGAACGCUGGCGGCGUGCCUAAUACAUGCAAGUCGAGCGAACGGACGAGAAGCUUGCUUCUCUGAUGUUAGCGGCGGACGGGUGAGUAACACGUGGAUAACCUACCUAUAAGACUGGGAUAACUUCGGGAAACCGGAGCUAAUACCGGAUAAUAUUUUGAACCGCAUGGUUCAAAAGUGAAAGACGGUCUUGCUGUCACUUAUAGAUGGAUCCGCGCUGCAUUAGCUAGUUGGUAAGGUAACGGCUUACCAAGGCAACGAUGCAUAGCCGACCUGAGAGGGUGAUCGGCCACACUGGAACUGAGACACGGUCCAGACUCCUACGGGAGGCAGCAGUAGGGAAUCUUCCGCAAUGGGCGAAAGCCUGACGGAGCAACGCCGCGUGAGUGAUGAAGGUCUUCGGAUCGUAAAACUCUGUUAUUAGGGAAGAACAUAUGUGUAAGUAACUGUGCACAUCUUGACGGUACCUAAUCAGAAAGCCACGGCUAACUACGUGCCAGCAGCCGCGGUAAUACGUAGGCGGCAAGCGUUAUCCGGAAUUAUUGGGCGUAAAGCGCGCGUAGGCGGUUUUUUAGUCUGAUGUGAAAGCCCACGGCUCAACCGUGGAGGGUCAUUGGAAACUGGAAAACUUGAGUGCAGAAGAGGAAAGUGGAAUUCCAUGUGUAGCGGUGAAAUGCGCAGAGAUAUGGAGGAACACCAGUGGCGAAGGCGACUUUCUGGUCUGUAACUGACGCUGAUGUGCGAAAGCGUGGGGAUCAAACAGGAUUAGAUACCCUGGUAGUCCACGCCGUAAACGAUGAGUGCUAAGUGUUAGGGGGUUUCCGCCCCUUAGUGCUGCAGCUAACGCAUUAAGCACUCCGCCUGGGGAGUACGACCGCAAGGUUGAAACUCAAAGGAAUUGACGGGGACCCGCACAAGCGGUGGAGCAUGUGGUUUAAUUCGAAGCAACGCGAAGAACCUUACCAAAUCUUGACAUCCUUUGACAACUCUAGAGAUAGAGCUUUCCCCUUCGGGGGACAAAGUGACAGGUGGUGCAUGGUUGUCGUCAGCUCGUGUCGUGAGAUGUUGGGUUAAGUCCCGCAACGAGCGCAACCCUUAAGCUUAGUUGCCAUCAUUAAGUUGGGCACUCUAAGUUGACUGCCGGUGACAAACCGGAGGAAGGUGGGGAUGACGUCAAAUCAUCAUGCCCCUUAUGAUUUGGGCUACACACGUGCUACAAUGGACAAUACAAAGGGCAGCGAAACCGUGAGGUCAAGCAAAUCCCAUAAAGUUGUUCUCAGUUCGGAUUGUAGUCUGCAACUCGACUACAUGAAGCUGGAAUCGCUAGUAAUCGUAGAUCAGCAUGCUACGGUGAAUACGUUCCCGGGUCU